rnacentral:rRNA from 1 species
UGGCGCUUGCGCCGUGGUGAGAGUGGCGAACGGGUGAGUAAUGCGUGACCGACCUGCCCCAUGCUCCGGAAUAGCUCCUGGAAACGGGUGGUAAUGCCGGAUGCUCCGCACAGCUGCAUGGCUGUGUGGGAAGGAUUUUAUCGGCAUGGGAUGGGGUCGCGUCCUAUCAGCUUGUUGGUGGGGCAAUGGCCCACCAAGGCUUCGACGGGUAGCCGGCCUGAGAGGGCGACCGGCCACAUUGGGACUGAGAUACGGCCCAGACUCCUACGGGAGGCAGCAGUGGGGAAUAUUGCACAAUGGGCGCAAGCCUGAUGCAGCGACGCCGCGUGAGGGAUGACGGCCUUCGGGUUGUAAACCUCUUUUGUUAGGGAGCAAGCGAGAGUGAGUGUACCUUUCGAAUAAGCACCGGCUAACUACGUGCCAGCAGCCGCGGUAAUACGUAGGGUGCAAGCGUUAUCCGGAAUUAUUGGGCGUAAAGAGCUCGUAGGCGGCUUGUCGCGUCCGGUGUGAAAGUCCAUCGCUUAACGGUGGAUCUGCGCCGGGUACGGGCAGGCUAGAAUGCGGUAGGGGAGACUGGAAUUCCCGGUGUAACGGUGGAAUGUGUAGAUAUCGGGAAGAACACCAAUGGCGAAGGCAGGUCUCUGGGCCGUUAUUGACGCUGAGGAGCGAAAGCGUGGGGAGCGAACAGGAUUAGAUACCCUGGUAGUCCACGCCGUAAACGGUGGAUGCUGGAUGUGGGGCCCGUUCCACGGGUUCCGUGUCGGAGCUAACGCGUUAAGCAUCCCGCCUGGGGGAGUACGGCCGCAAGGCUAAAACUCAAAGAAAUUGACGGGGGCCCGCACAAGCGGCGGAGCAUGCGGAUUAAUUCGAUGCAACGCGAAGAACCUUACCUGGGCUUGACAUGUUCCGGACGACCUCAGAAGAUGGGGUUUCCCUUCGGGGCCGGUUCACAGGUGGUGCAUGGUCGUCGUCAGCUCGUGUCGUGGAGAUGUUUGGGUUAAGUCCCGCAACGAGCGCAACCCUA